CAUGACUGUUUCCUAUACCGCACAGGUUGCUACGUGCCACCGAUUCGGCUGCUUUUGGAAGCUGCUGGGCAGAUGGCGCGCAAGCAUUUACAAAAUAAUUUGGGCUGAUCUAUUGGUAUUCCUGAUUGCCUUCUAUGCAAUGGCUUUGUUGUAUCGCACUGUGCUCGAUGACCCAACCAAACUCAUUUUUGAUGAUCUUGUGGAAUACUGUCGCAGCUACGGUGGUAUGAUACCACUGUCAUUUGUACUUGGUUUCUAUGUGGCCAUCAUUGUUGGGCGCUGGUGGAGUCAGUACAUCACGGUGCCCUGGCCAGAUCCAUUGGCGGUCUAUGUCAGCGCCCUGGUGCGUGGCCAGGAUGAUCAUGGCCGUUUAAUGCGUCGCACCAUAAUGCGAUAUGUUUGCCUAUCUCUGACAAUGGUGCUGACCAUGAUAUCGCCGGUAAUUAAGCGACGCUUUCCCACCUACGAUUAUUUGGUGGAGGCUGGUCUGCUGAACAAGAAUGAGGCAUUGAUUAUAUCCAAAAUGGACGAGAAGUUUCCGAAACAUUACAAGUACUGGAUGCCUCUCAUGUGGGCAUCCAGCAUUAUGACGCGUGCAAGGAAAGAGGGACGCAUCUGGGAUGAUUUCUCUCUCAAGUCCAUGAUCGAUGAGCUGAACAAGUUCCGUGGUGACUGCAAUAUGCUCACACAUUACGAUAUGAUCAGUGUGCCGCUGGUUUAUACUCAGGUGGUCACUCUGGCUGUAUACACAUAUUUCUUGGCUGCCAUCUUUGGGCAUCAGUACAUCAAUAAGGUGGAUUGCAAUAUUGUCAAUUAUUAUUUUCCCGUAUUUAGCACGCUGGAGUUCUUCUUUUUCGUGGGCUGGCUAAAAGUCGCCGAAACGCUGAUAUGUCCAUUUGGCGAUGAUGAUGAUGACUUUGAGCUCAACUGGGUAAUCGAUCGCAAUUUGCAAGUUAGUUACUUAAUUGUGGACGAAAUGCACAACGAUCAUCCAACUCUAGUCAGGGAUCAAUACUGGGACGAGGUCUUUCCCAAUGAGCUGCCCUAUGCUGAUGAGUCCCAACGUCACGCACCACCCGAAGCCUCCACAGCCAAGCUAGACUUGUCGAAAAUAACAUCCUCAUUGUUACCAAAACAAACACCGACUACGACCAGUGAACUCGAUUUCACAGAAUUUGAUGGCGAGGAUGGUGACGGGGAUGAUGGCCGCGAGCUGCGCAUUAAGUUUGCUUCGCGUCGCUUUGAUAUCCAUGUCAGCUCCUCGUCCAUUUCCUUUUUCGAUCUGAACAACUUGGAGCCGGACAAUUUUCCAGACGAGGGUGACGAAGAAGAGCAGUUCUUUGAGUUGCCCCCAACUCGCGAGACCAGCAAGGAUGACUUUGAUCGCCUGAAAGAAGAGCGUGAACGCGAACGGCACGCCAGGCAAUUGCAGCACGCAACUAUCACCUUUGACCUGCUCAAAGGCGAACUAACCAAUCUUUCUGAAUCGGGACAUUUGUUACCAAGCAACUCUCCGAAAAGUACAGCACCACCAAGCGAAUUAACAGACAAAUCUAAAAUGGAUGACGAAGUGCAAACAAGCAAAAGUUUUAUUAACGAACGAAAGUAAAAAAGAACAUUCCAUUAAAGCUUCAAACGCCAAGCAAAAAAGAAACAUUCAGUUAACCAGCUGACAAGAUGAG
rnacentral:misc_RNA from 1 species